AAUUAGCCCCUAUGGCAGCGGCAUCCUUUUUGUUUGUCACACUGAGCUUGUCGAAGUGCAAACUAAAAAGAUAUAGCGAACAGCGGGAAUUGCU
rnacentral:sRNA from 2 species